CUGGGUCUCUGUUGCUGCUCCGAGGCUUUCAUUGAGGCAGUGGCCCUGCUGAGUCUCAGGUCCCCCUGAGAAGUUCUGAGGAGUGACGGUCAUGGUCUUUUUGGAGUGGAGGCGGUCAGCGCUGGGGCAGAGAAGGGACUGAGCCACCCCCCAACCCCCCCCGCCAUGCAGUGAUGGGCCAUCACCCAGCAGCUCCACGUGCUCAGUCUCUCCCAGAGCUUCACAACUGCAGCUGCACGUGAGGAGCCAGGCACCUCCUGCCUGCCACUUCCUCUCCUUUACCACACAGAGCCUAGUAAGGCCCCGCUCAACGUUUAGCUCCUAGAAAUGUUCUCCAUUUCACGACCAGUUCUUCUCAAUGUAAAUGUUUAGGAGCUCUACCCUCAGGAAUUAUACUUCAUGGGUCUGACUCGAACUCCGACACCUGUGUGACUAGCAAGUAGCCUAGUGACCCUGCUGUGAUGGUUCACGGUCUGCACUUGGAGAAACAGUUAGCCUCGUCUGUGGCGGGUGUCAAAGAGCCAAAAAUGGUGAGUUUAAACAAUUUAAAACAUAUUAGAUGGCCAAUCACAGUAUAUGAUCCAGAAUUUUUCAGAGGCUAGAGUUCCAGACAUUUCCUCAUCUUCUCCAUCUCAGCCUUCUUCAUGACUAUAACCCCCCACCCCCUGCCAAGAGCCAAACCAAGAAAUCUCAAUGUGCCUAUUGUUUUGUUUUGGGCUGUGUGGUAUGGCUUGCAGGAUCUUAGUUCCCCAACCAGGGAUUGAACCUUGCACCCAGACAGUAAGAGAACCGAGUCCCAACACUGGACCUCCAGGGAACUUCCUCGCUAUGUCCAUUGUGACCCAGCAUCUAAUGAGGCUCCUGUCAAGGGCCCCACAUUCAGAAGCGCCUUUCCAGUCCUGGUUGCUGGUGCUGAGUACUGCACCACAGAAAAGGACAUGCAGCACGUAAAACCCUAAAGGCAGGCGUUGAGCGUGUAAGCGGCCAUGUGAAUGAGACUGCCCGUGUGUGGCGUGAAGUAUGCCGUGUGCAGAGGACAGGCUGGGGUCAAGGGAGGGAGGUUCCAGGUUUGAGAUUAGAGGAGAAAUAAAUGGUCAUUUGUAAAAAGUUUUAAAGAUUAAUUUUUAAAGAUUCCAUUCAUAGUCACUAAUGUUUGCUUAAACUGAAAUAAAUUUGGCCCCUGCACAAAGACACACUCAAGCCAUCCUUCUGAAAAACUAUUCUGUUUAAUAGUGCAUUUCAUUUAUGCUACAGAUGAGCAGGACUGGG